rnacentral:rRNA from 1 species
AAAUGCCGGUAUGAGUAGCGAAAGAGGGGUGAGAAUCCCCUCCACCGAAUGCCUAAGGUUUCCUGAGGAAGGCUCGUCCGCUCAGGGUUAGUCGGGACCUAAGCCGAGGCCGAAAGGCGUAGGCGAUGGACAACAGGUUGAUAUUCCUGUACCACCUCCUCACCAUUUGAGCAAUGGGGGGACGCAGGAGGAUAGGGUAAGCGCGGUAUUGGAUAUCCGCGUCCAAGCAGUUAGGCUGGGAAAUAGGCAAAUCCGUUUCCCAUAAGGCUGAGCUGAGAUGGCGAGCGAAAUAUAGUAGCGAAGUUCCUGAUUCCACACUGCCAAGAAAAGCCUCUAGCGAGGUGAGAGGUGCCCGUACCGCAAACCGUCCCAGGUAGGCGAGGAGAGAAUCCUAAGGUGAUCGAGAGAACUCUCGUUAAGGAACUCGGCAAAAUGACCCCGUAACUUCGGGAGAAGGGGUGCUCUGUUAGGGUGCAAGCCCGAGAGAGCCGCAGUGAAUAGGCCCGGGCGACUGUUUAGCAAAGACACAGGUCUCUGCGAAGCCGUAAGGCGAAGUAUAGGGGCUGACGCCUGCCCGGUGCUGGAAGGUUAAGAGGAGCGCUUAGCGUAAGCGAAGGUGCGAAUUGAAGCCCCAGUAAACGGCGGCCGUAACUAUAACGGUCCUAAGGUAGCGAAAUUCCUUGUCGGGUAAGUUCCGACCCGCACGAAAGGCGCAACGAUCUGGGCACUGUCUCAACGAGAGACUCGGUGAAAUUAUAGUACCUGUGAAGAUGCAGGUUACCCGCGACAGGACGGAAAGACCCCGUGGAGCUUUACUGCAGCCUGAUAUUGGAUGUUGGUACAGCUUGUACAGGAUAGGUAGGAGCCUUGGAAACCGGAGCGCCAGCUUCGGUGGAGGCAUCGGUGGGAUACUACCCUGGCUGUAUUGACCUUCUAACCCGCCGCCCUUAUCGGGCGGGGAGACAGUGUCAGGUGGGCAGUUUGACUGGGGCGGUCGCCUCCUAAAAGGUAACGGAGGCGCCCAAAGGUUCCCUCAGAAUGGUUGGAAAUCAUUCGCAGAGUGUAAAGGCACAAGGGAGCUUGACUGCGAGACCUACAAGUCGAGCAGGGACGAAAGUCGGGCUUAGUGAUCCGGUGGUUCCGCAUGGAAGGGCCAUCGCUCAACGGAUAAAAGCUACCCCGGGGAUAACAGGCUUAUCUCCCCCAAGAGUCCACAUCGACGGGGAGGUUUGGCACCUCGAUGUCGGCUCAUCGCAUCCUGGGGCUGUAGUCGGUCCCAAGGGUUGGGCUGUUCGCCCAUUAAAGCGGUACGCGAGCUGGGUUCAGAACGUCGUGAGACAGUUCGGUCCCUAUCCGUCGCGGGCGCAGGAAAUUUGAGAGGAGCUGUCCUUAAUACGAGAGGACCGGGAUGGACGCACCGCUGGUGUACCAGUUGUUCUGCCAAGGGCAUCGCUGGGUAGCUAUGUGCGGACGGGAUAAGUGCUGAAAGCAUCUAAGCAUGAAGCCCCCCUCAAGAUGAGAUUUCCCAUUCCGCAAGGAAGUAAGAUCCCUGAAAGAUGAUAAGGUUGAUAGGUCUGAGGUGGAAGUGUGGCAACACAUGGAGCUGACAGAUACUAAUCGAUCGAGGACUUAACC